AAUAGUAUUAGAAUUGUUUCCUUAAAUUUAGUAUUGUUGUCUUCUUCUUUCUCCUCUCUCUCUUUCUUUCAAUAGACUCUUGCAAUGUGGUUAAGGUGGCUUUGACCUCACUACGUGACCCAGAUUGACUGCAAAUUUGUAGCAUUCUUCCUGCCUCAGCUUCCCAAAUGCUGAAACUACAGAGCAUACAGGGCAGCAGAUCCUCACCGCCGAGCUUCUCUGGGCAGGUCUGAGACUCAUGGCCUAGACAAGGAUCUCUAUGGAAACCUUGGAGUCAACCUGCAGGCUUCCUCUGGGGGACACCAUCCGGAGCACAGUGUGACCAGGUCUCUGACAGCCUGUGUGCCUGGCACCCUCGUGUUGAUGGAGAUGGAGCAAGGCCGGUUCUCAGAACUUCGAUGCCGCUGGUUUCUGCCUAUUUUUUCCCAGUAUCUGCAGGUGUAUCACUAUCCACCUGCACCUCCUCAUCUUCACCUGCAAAGAGGGGACACUGAUUACUGCUGGUGGGAGGUGCUGCAGUUCGAAAUUCAGGCUUCGAUGUCCAGUAGGCUGGUUUUGUCUCUUAUGACACGUGUGACCUGGAGCAAACCAUCCGACCUGGGAGCCUCAGUUGUCCCUCUGUAAUGUGGGGAUCUCUGUGCUCCUUCAGGAGCACCACCAGCUGCAGUAGUGUCGAGCCAGUGGCACACUCAAUAGUGAGAGCAGCUAUCACUUUCAUUGUUGUCAUACAAAGAGUUAGCAAAUUCGGAAUAUUUUGGUGCUUGACAUUUGUUUUCUCUUCUACCUCUCUCUUCCUUCUUUCUUGUUUUUCCAUCUUAUGUUAUUCUCCUUCUUCUCACCUUCCUACCUUCUUAGAUGCAUCUGAUUGCAGCUGCAAAGAGCAGUGAGCACUUGGACUGGCAAAUUGAAUGGCAGUAAGAUUCUGGAGAGAUUAGAAUAUCACAGGGAGAAAUCUAAGCUUCAGUCCAAGAGUGACAGUGAGUCACUGAAGGUUGUGGAGCAGAAACAAUGCUCAGUAAAGUGGGGCAAAUGAACCUGGUACCAGAGUUUGAGAAGGCGAGAUAAGAACAGAAGCUGUAACCAGAGAGAUGAGAUAGUGGGGGGUGAGGGGGGUCCUGGAGGCCAAGAAGGAGGUGGGGAAACUGAGGUUGCAUUCCUCUCCGAAGCUUGUCUUGGAGAAGCAGCCCUGUUCCCAACUUUUCAACUUGUCCACAAAACCCAGCAGAAGUGCCCCUCCUCACUGUGUGACCGCAGAUCAGAGCCUGACCUCUCAGAGCCAGCAAUAAGGCCGCUCUGGGCCUCUGUGACACCUCCUAGCUUCCCAGCAAAGAUACUGCUGAUCCUCAAGGCUUCCAUCAUCUUCCAGGCUGCUCCCGCUCCAAGAUUAAUUUGUUUACUCCCUUGCCUGGAGAUGAACUGAGAGAACUAAUCGUCCAUCAGAUGCAGCUCCCCCAACCUCGCACCACCCCGCCCCGAAUGUCCAUUUUCUGGCAAAAUAUGUCCUUGCUGCUGCCAAGGCUGCUUGGAAAAUGCUAAUUUUAUCCUCAAAUUAAAAUUUGUUCUCUUACCCUCAUUUUAAUAAAAGUGAAGCGUCCGGAAACAUUGCCAUGGCACGGAAGAGAAAGAUCUGACAUAAUUUUAAAAAUGCCUUCAAUCAUACAGCUUUCUGAAUGGCCUGUCCUCUCUCCCUGACCCCCUCCUCAUCUCCCCAUCCCCUGAGGCAUCAUUUACAUUUCUUAAUAACCCCUCAUUAAUAUUCAUGAGGAGGGGUGGGUAAUAAUGGCUGAGCACACCACACUAAUUCAAUUUCCACCCGCCUCGGCGUGUUUACUUAAUCACCAAGGGACCCGGGUUACUCAGUACAAUUAUUUAUUCAGAAUUAGAUCUGGAGGCAUCUGGACUGGAAACAGGGAACUAAGAGUGAAAUGGAAAUUGAAUUCUCUUUGUCCCGUUUCAGAGCCACCUCCUCCUGACUCUCUGCCAAGGCUCCAGGAGGCCAGCAGGCUAGAGGACAUACUCAUGGCCAGGCAGGCAGUUCAGGAAAAAGCUGGCUUAUGCUGGGGUGUGUCCCAGGUGCUUUGGCCACGGUACAGCUCUGUCAUCAAAGUGGCCACAGAGGGAUCAGUGGGCCCAGUACUGGCCCAGAUGCACAGGCCUAGCCAGGAGUAUUGCCUUGGGAAUACUGGGGUACUGGCCCAACCUGGUAGCCCAAGACUUGAUUCCAGGUCCUGCAGAGGUGACAGUUUGUGGCACAGCAUCUAAAGAAUGCCUGCUCACAACUGAUACUAACAGUCAUGUCCUCCAGGAAGCUGUCCUUGGUCCCUCAGAUGAGGUCAGGUUGUCCUAUUCAGUAUCUCCCAAUACAUCCAGGAUGGGCUUGGUCACAGGACCUUGACUACCGUAGCUGCCAAAUAAUUAAAUUACUUAUUUGUCUUUUAAGGGUUCUUCUUCCCAACGGCCUGCCAACUCCAAGGGGACAACCCCACCAUGGCUGUCCUGAUCAUCCCUGUGUCUCUAGCAUCUAGUGAUGACCAGUCCCAAGGACCUGCUCACCAUGUAUUUGUUGACUUACUGACUGAUUCCGGAGCUUCCCUGGCCAUAUGUAUAAGAAUCUCCACCUUGUGGGGUGCUAUGAGGACUCAGAGUUUCAGUGUAAAGAGGGCUCAGAGCUGCUAGGUAUAGAAUGCUAAGUGUUGAGCCGCGUAUCUGAUAAGCCCUCAGUUAGUGCUAUUUCUUCUGUUAAAGCUGAUUGUGGCAUUUUGUGGAAGAGUCCCUACCGGAAGACUCCAGCAGACUCUGAGGACCUAGACUUGGAGCAGCUGUGCUUAGACUUCAAAAGGACCUCCUCAAAUCCACACAUCUAGAUGGGACCAACCUCAAUCCCAGAUUUGUCUCAUAGUAGCUGGACAUCCUGGGCAAGAAUGUGCCAUAUUCUCUUACCUCUUCAUCUUCAGUUGAUGGAAUACGAGCACCCCCACCCACCUAUCCCAUGCUCAUAUGUGUGAACAUCCCGAUGCCAGUAUCCUGCAAGUCAAGAAUCUUGAGGUCUCAGUUUAAAUCCCACCUCCUGCAAGAAGCCUUCCCUGUGUUCCGGUGCUCCUCCGUGUUCCCACAGUCCACAGACAGACUGCGUUGGCCACACUUUGCUGCCACUGUGUAUUGAGGUGGCUUGUUCUCCACACCCACACUGCACUGGGCUCUCCUCAGGGGGAAGAUGUGCUUGGCUCAUCUUGAUGGCUGCAGCUGUGCCUAACAAGACUAGAAGAAGAAAUAAGUCUUGAAGAAGGGGAACUAGCGUACUCAGAGAUUCCCUUGAAGGAAGUGGAGGACCUGGGAUUUGAACCUAGCUCUGGUGACUCUGAAGCUUGAGCUCUCUCUGCAGCUAUGUGGGCAUGGCCACAAAUGUCUGGAGGUCUGACAGCCAUCUUGUGACCAAGUGAAAAGAACGAACAUCCUGUGAUGACACAGUAAGAAGAUGGUGAAGAGAUCCUCAAGCCACUGACUUCAUGAUACCUGUAG